CCCAGGGACCAUUCUUGAUGUUCCUGAGGGAGCUGAGAUGGGCAGUGUGGCUGUGAUCCCUGUGUCCCAUGUGUAGGUACCGCAUGGGGCUCUCCUUCCAUGGCCACAAGUGUGUGUCUGUGUCUGACAGCCCUAGCCAGUACCACUCCAAAAACACCCUUGUGUGUGUGUGUGUGUGUGUGUGUGUGUGUGUGUGUGUGCGCGCGCACACACAUGCACGCCCCACAGGACACCAGAUUGCCAGCCACAUGUGCGUCCAUAUCUGUGUGUUUCUGACCAGGACAAGGCAGCAGAUCCCCCCCAGCAACACGUCACCGAGGUAUUUGCACAUUUCCUGUUGUCUCCCUGUCACCCUUGCUCUCUAGGACCUGACGUCCUGCCUCUCAGCCUAAACCAAGGGUCCCUAGAGGUGCUAAUCCUUUGCCUGUGAUGCCCCCAGACCCAGGGGCUUACCCUCAACACUCACCUGAGGCCUGAAAUCCAAGCAGGCCUAGGGAAAGAAAGGCUUUACAGUGUUGCCAUGGAUACCAGCACCAAAAGGGGAGGGGCUGUUUGUUACCAGCAGCUUCCAGGGAGACCCCAAGCCAGGGCCCUGAGUGAACCCUGGGCCCACCUCCAGGUCCAGCCUGAAGGAGACGCGGUAAGAGGCUGGGUUGCUGGCCAGCGAGCCUCAGGAGGCCCAGGAACCACAGAGUGGCCAGCCAGGCCUCCAGGGCCACACACUCAGUGUACCAGCCCAGCCUGACUUUCUGACUGUGGCACUCGGACUUCCCGUGCUGGGGAGCAUACAGGCUGGUGAGAGGACCCCCAUGGCAGACCUGGUCCACAGACAGCACUGAGGCUGUGAGGCACCCUGGCUGCUGAGCUGGCUUGGGCUCUACCAGGCCGGAGUGUGCCCGCCAACUUCAAGGCGACCUUCUCCCCACACCAGGACUGCCAGCCUGGCUGCAGCGGCCCGCCAGCUCCACCUCCCUCCCACGGGGGCUCACGGCUCCCCGACCCCUGUGCGUCCCCCUGAGGGAGCGGGGUCGGUGGGGCCCUGGCCUUGGGGUCCCGCUGCCCCUCUUGGGCGCAGAAGCUGCGGGGUCCCAGGCCGGUGCUCCCUCUCUAGGUAAGAGACUCAUCAGAAUCGGAGGCUUCUGAG